GUGAGAUCUCCCUUCAUCUCCUGCUGGACGAUUCUAACAACCAAUGGCUCUUUUCCAUCUAUGCCUGCCAACCCUGAAUCAGGCCAAGGAGCAAAGCUGGGAGGUCAACCCAGGCAAAGCCAGCAGAAAAGGGCUGUACUUCCCUUCUUUGCAAUCCCAAGCCAAGAAUUGCUGACCCUGAGUGUGCACACAAAUUGCUGGUAGAUGAGGCAUUGGGGAAUGCAGCAGGGGCGGGAAGAAUCACAAAAUAAUAGAAAGCUACUAUUUAAAAUGUGCAUAUUCGGUACAAGGCUCUAGGCUAAAUGUCUUUACCUGCAUUGUCCCAUUUGAUUCUCACAAUAACUCUUUAAGGCAAGAACUAUUAUUCUCACUCUCCUACUUUUUUUUCUUUGGUUUUUUGGUGGUGUUUGUUUGUGUUUUUUUGUUUUUUUUUUUUUUUUUUUUUACAAAUGAGGAGACUCAGAAAAGUUAAGUAACAAGCAAGUGUCUGUAUUUGAAGGCAAGUUUGUCUGACUUCCAAACACACCUCUUAGUAAUGCAACUACACUGCUUAGUCUGGGUUGCAGGUGGCCACCCUCCUCAAAGUGACACUGGAGCACUUUCAAAGCAUGUCAUCCCAGGCUGAGAUGAUAGUCCUGGUUAAGCUCCCUCCCCACAAGAUUAUAAAGUAGAGUAAUGGUGACAACUGCCCCUGUGCUGAUCCAAAGCUUCACUACUGAAACCUUAGUUAAUUCCCUAAAAUCUUUGAGCAGGGUUCGGGAGGAAGAGGGAACCAAAGUUACGCAGUCUUCACAAUAA
rnacentral:lncRNA from 10 species